rnacentral:rRNA from 1 species
CCAACCGAAAGGAGGGGGAUGCCUAAGGUAGGACUGGUGACUGGGGUGAAGUCGUAACAAGGUAGCCGUACCGGAAGGUGUGGCUGGAUCACCUCCUUUUAGGGAG